CUUCAGAUUCCAGCGGCGAGAGGCCGAAAUCGAGGCGAGGCCACCGCUCGGCGCGCCCUCCCGCCUGCUUUCCUCCCGGCUCCAGCAGGCAGGCCAGCCUGCCAACCGAGCGGCGCACCAGCCAGCCGCCGUCUUCUUCUAGGCUGCAGCGGAGCGGAGAUCCACCCGGAGUCCCCACCGCUUCCUCCUUCUCCUGGUAAGGAAGCCCUAGCUUUGCUCGUGGAUGGAUUGUCCUAGGACCGGGUCUUGUCCCGCGGGAUCUUCCCCUUUUUUUCUCCCUUUUCCUGCGUGACCAAUCGAACCCGAAUCUUACUAACUGAGAUUGAUUCCUGCUCCAAUCCGUUCAGUUUGCGGCGGAAUUCGUUUACUGCGCUACCUAGGGGAAGCUUGCUUGUUUUCCCCAACAUUUUUGGGGGACUCAGCUGAAAUGACACCCCCCCCGCGCCCCCCCCCCCCCCCCCCCCCCCCCCCCCCCCCCCCCCAUUUUAGUCAUGCCUCACUCUGAUCCCCACAAUGCAUGUUGGUUUCAACAAGUACCAUACAUGUUCACUAGAUGGCCAGUGCUUCGACAAAUAGCUAUAUUCCACCGCUCCACAUGACUAUGCAUAUCAGAAUCGUCACAAACAAUCUAUUAUAUUGCAAGGUCUGUUGUGUGUGAUUCCUGUCUAGGCUUGUACCUUGCAACUGCUGAUGUCAACCCAGUGUGCUUAUUUCUAAACCCUGCCCUCAACACACCAGUUUACUAAUAUUCCUGAGCGUUUUUGGUUCACAGUAGAGCGCUCACAUUUUAUCUCUAACCAUUUUCAGAAUCACAGCACCCAACAUUGCUCCAUGUUUCCUUGUUCCCUGCAAUUUAAUUCAAUUUCAAUUUGCCUUACCAUACCAAUUGAUGUGCUACGGUGGAUUUUACUUCAUUUUUGUUACAUACAUAAUAUGUGCAGGUUCUACGAUAUUCAAUCAGAGCUGUUGGUACUGUCAGUUGCCCCUAUGUAUUGCCACCGUUCUUAAAACUCCAUAGUAGUUACUUGGAGAUCAGAUGCGACAAAUAUGCACACCAAAGGGGCUUCUUCAGAUGCCAUCAGAGUUAGCACAUCUAGUGCCCCUAGUACAUCAAGUCAUGGUUCUGCACAAGAUGACUAUGAUUCCUCAGGUGACGUGUACGUGUGGGGUGAAGUCAUUUGUGACAACACCGUAAGAGUUGGUUCUGACACGGUAAUCAGGUCAACUGGGAAGACCGAUGUUCUUCUGCCUAAGCCCUUGGAGUCCAAGUUAGUUCUUGACGUGUAUCAUGUGGAUUGUGGAGUCAAGCACGCUGCUCUGGUCACAAAAAAUGGGGAAGUGUUUACAUGGGGUGAAGAAUCUGGGGGCCGUCUUGGCCAUGGAUCAAGGGAAGACUCUGUUCAUCCUCGUCUAGUCGAGUCGUUAGCAAUUAGCAAUGUGGACAUCGUUGCCUGUGGGGAGUUCCACACUUGUGCGGUCACAACGGCUGGGGAACUGUACACCUGGGGCGAUGGAACACAUAAUAUUGGACUUCUAGGCAAUGGUACUGAUGUAAGCCAUUGGAUUCCUAAAAGGAUUUUAGGAGCGCUGGAUGGUCUUCAAGUUGCCUAUGUUUCUUGUGGGACCUGGCAUACAGCCUUGAUUACAUCAAGAGGCCAGCUAUUUACCUUCGGUGAUGGUACAUUUGGAGUCUUAGGACAUGGAAACCGUGAAAGUAUUUCGUGUCCAAGGGAGAUAGAGUCUUUAUCUGGGUUAAAAACAAUUGCUGUUGCAUGUGGUGUAUGGCACACUGCAGCGGUUGUAGAAGUUAUAGUGACCCAAUCCAGUUCAAGUAUAUCUUCUGGAAAACUCUUCACGUGGGGAGAUGGUGACAAACAUCGGCUUGGUCAUGGUGACAAGGAACCAAGACUUAAGCCUACGUGUGUGGCUUCACUUAUUGAUUACGAUUUCUACAGGAUAGCAUGUGGUCAUAGUCUCACUGUAGGCCUGACAACAUCUGGACAGGUUCUGAGCAUGGGUAAUACUGUUUAUGGUCAACUUGGGAAUCCCCGCUCAGAUGGCAAACUUCCAUGCUUAGUUGAAGAUAUUAUGAGUGAACAUGUUGUCCAAGUUGCCUGUGGUUCCUACCAUGUUGCAGUCUUAACAAAUAAGAGUGAGGUCUUUACAUGGGGGAAAGGGGCCAAUGGAAGAUUGGGCCAUGGAGAUAUAGAGGAUAGGAAAAUACCUACACUGGUCGAGGCGUUGAGAGACAGGGCUGUUAGGCACAUAGCUUGUGGCUCAAACUUCACUGCAGCUAUAUGCCAGCAUAAGUGGGUCUCAGGAGCUGAGCAGUCGCAGUGUGCUUCAUGCCGGCAGCCGUUUGGAUUCACCCGAAAGAGGCAUAACUGCCAUAAUUGUGGACUUGUCCAUUGUAAUGCAUGCACCUCGCGUAAAGCUCUGAGAGCUGCAUUGGCUCCUAAUCCUGCGAAACCAUACCGUGUUUGUGAUUCCUGUUUCAUGAAAUUGAACAGUGCGGCAUACUCCAGUGCAAUUAAUCAAAAUAAGAGGAAAGAGGCUGUUCCUCGCCACUCUGGUGAAAGCAACCCUGAUACUAAAUUGGCUAAAGCAAUUGUACCCAGCAAUUUGGAUAUGAUUAGAAGUUUGGAUAGCAAGGCAGCAAAACAAGGGAAGAAAACUGAUGCACUGUCAUUUCUUCGGAAUCCUCAAAUGACUUCACUUCUUCAGCUAAGAGAUAUUGCUUUAUCUGGUGGAAUUGAUCUGAACAAAUCAGUUCCAAGAGCAGUUCGCACAUCAGCAGUUCGAUCUUUGAACUCAUCUAGGGCCGUUUCCCCUUUCUCUCGCAAGCCUAGUCCACCACGUUCAACCACACCAGUCCCAACAACUCAUGGCCUUUCUAUUGCUAAAACUGCUGCUGACAGUCUUGCAAAAACUAACGAGAUGUUAAAUCAAGAGGUUGAAAGACUCCGUGCACAGGUAUUGAGGUUGAUUUAUAUGCAAGUACGUACCUUUGUGUUGUUACGCGGACAAACAAUAAAAUUUGUGCACCUUUUUAGGUUGAUAAUCUGAGGCACCGCUGUGAACUUCAAGAACUUGAGUUGCAGAAAUCAGCAAAGAAAGUACAAGAGGCCAUGACACUGGUUUCAGAGGAAUCUGCAAAGUCUAAAGCUGCUAAGGAAGUCAUAAAGUCCCUAACAGCACAGGUAAUACCGACUGGCGUAGUACAUUUAUGCCUUCCUAGCGAUAAUGUUGCUUUCCCGUCGUAUUCAUUGCAAAUAAAUAUAAUUAGCUAUUAAGAUUCCCAAGACACUUUCUUCAUGCAAACGGUAUUCUGGUGCUGGUUUGAUUCUGUCAACAAUCAUAUUAACAGAAGGCGUAUAUUUCCUAUUGCAAGAACAGCAAUGGCUUCAUGUCAGCAAAUUACACAUUCAGAAAAAUGCAGUACUUAUAUAUCUGACCCAAAAUAAAUUUGUGUACUCUGUACCUAGCUUGUCAAAAUAUCGAUGCGAGCUUAUUUUAUCCUGGCAAAGUGCCAACUUUCUUUGGUUGUUUAACUGAGAUUGCUUUCUCUGGUGAUUGUUGCAUGUACCUUUUGCUGUGGCUUGUUUAGCUCAAGGAUAUGGCUGAAAGACUACCUCCAGAUCAGGGAGCCUAUGAUGGCAGUGAAGCCAAACAAGUGCACGUUCCCAAUGGCAUCGAGAUGUAUGCUUCUAUUUACACUAGCAUGAAUGGUAUUCAUCAGCCACGAAAUGAGUCUGUCAGUGCUGUCAGCACACCGAGCCUGAAUAUGGGACGAGCGUUGCAUCCAAAUGGAAUCUCAAGUCAACAUAAAUCACCAGGAAGUAUUAGUGAAAAUAGCGAAGUGAGUGCUCACAGCCAUAGGGUUUCAGGCCCUCCCGACGCUGAAAAGUUGAAUAGAAGGGGACAUAUCAGUAGUGAUGAGAUGCUGAGUGCAAGCAGUAGAGCAGAUGAUAGCAGCAGCCAGGAUGGUAGGUCCCUUUUUAAUGGUGAGGAUGGCUACAAAUCUCGAAGCGUGGUAUCAAUUCCCAGCAACCAAGUCCAGGCUGAGUGGAUUGAGCAGUAUGAGCCAGGUGUAUACAUAACACUGACAACUCUUCGUGAUGGGACCCGAGAUCUAAAGCGCGUACGUUUCAGGUAAACAAUUGUCUUCCGCCUUCUUUCUUAGUGCUGCCAAGGUUAUUUCUUUUUGUUUAUUUCAUUUAUAAUUAGAUGCAUUACUAGUCGACUAAAUUAGUAAAAAUUGGAUUUGACAAAUCACCUUAUAGCUGGAAUGUAGCGCUGCAGAUCACCUCUGUUAGCAUAGAGCAGGCACAGUAUGUAGAACACAAUAUAGAAGUCUGUUUCCCCAUAAAGAGUAUCAAAUGGCACAAAAACUUAACCAAUCAAUUGACCCAGCGGUAUGAAAUGGCACAAAAUAUAGUGGAUCUUGUCAUGAACCAUGAAAGGGUUUCUUGCUUCUGUGCACACCUGUUUGCACUUAGCAGCGACUAAUUUGCCACUGUCUUUCUUCCUCGUGUCAUAAAUUUUCUGUGCAGUCGAAGGCGGUUUGGGGAGCAUCAAGCAGAGAGCUGGUGGAAUGAGAACCGCGACAAGGUGUACGAGAAGUACAACGUAAGGAGCUCCGAGCGAGUCUCGUCGGCAUCCUCAAUCCGGUCAGCUCGAUGACCUGCUACUUCCUGGCAGUUGCCGGAGGGGGAGGGUACGAAGCGCCAAAGCCCGUCGUGGCAAGGCCUUGAGAAAUUCUUUUUGGCCGUGUAAUGUCGAUAAUUCUUGUUACUACUUAUUGUUUUGAGAUUUGAGUCAUAUAAUUAUCCGUCCAAGGGCUGGUUAGCUAGCCCUGUUCCGAUGUAAUGUACAUAGAGCUGUGGUGCAGACUAGCAGAGGGAGGAACAGCCCAUUGGUCUUUGUUGUAGCCAAUGCAGGUGUAA
rnacentral:lncRNA from 1 species